UGAUGUACUUGGCUGUUGGAAGGG
rnacentral:misc_RNA from 1 species